AUACUUUCAAAAAGUGUUGAUGAUCAUAAUCAUCCCAGCCUCCUUGUCGUCCUCCUGUUUGCUGAAGGAACCUUUCAAAUUCUACUACUUCUUCAGGAAACUUAAUGCUGGUGAAAAGAAUGUGACUGAGAGCCUUUGUUUUCAGUCCUGAAACAGGAUGUGCAAGGAUGAGCCUUUACAAUCUCAUGGAGUCUUGAAGAGUGGAGAUAUGUCAGUAUCAGGUGAAGUCAGUGGGACUCCUAGCAGAUUCACAGAAGGAUAGGCAGACUGGAGAAAGGACAUCCAGAGCCUGCACUGGUGGCAUAAGCAGAGACCUUCCCUGCAAGACAAUUAUCCAAGAAAAUUGAACUUUUGUCUAUAAAAGGCAAGUAUUUCAAACUCCAUCAACAAGACUUACAU